GCAUGAGGGGGGAAGCAGGGAGAGGGGAGAAAGGCUGUCGAUCUGUGAGGGCAGAGGAGAGAGAUUAAAGAAAUGGCCCUUAGUUCUCUGAGUGACACGGCCCCAUUCAAAGGGCAAGCAGAAAGAAAUGCUGCUAAUAUGAAUAGAGGGAUGCUCAAGAGCCUUGCCCCCUUUUCUUCUUUGGCUCCACUUCGGGUCGGAUCCUGGGUGCAUUCUUAGAGCGGUGUAUACGCUAUCUGGGCAUACGCACGAGCGCAUGGCAAAAAGGUCUUAUUGAUUCGAGAUCGAUAUUGAUUCGAGAUCGAUUUAGACCGAUGUAGCUGACUGACCCUACUACUCUCUUUCUGGCUCGUUGGGUCCAGAAGCAGCGAAAACACAACCCAGGCAACGGCACGAGAUACAGAGCAAGGGGCUGGUGGGACCACACCGGAAGGAGUAGAAAUCUCAACCGUGACACUUUGGAGAGGAGG